AGUUAAAAAGCUCGUAGUCGGAUUUCAGUAUUAGGCCCUUCUUCCAAUACGGUUGCUAGUGGUCUUUACUUCUUUAACAGAAUCUUUCAUCUCAUUAAUUUGGGGUGUUUGGGGCCUGUUUCUUUUACUUUGAGAAAAUUAGAGUGUUCAAAGCGGGUUUUCGCCUGGAUAUUACUCUUGGAAUAAUAAUAUAGGACUUUGGUUCUUUUUUGUUGGUGACUUAGAACCGAAGUAAUGAUUGAUAGGGACAGUUGGGGUCAUUCGUACUAUGAAGCGAGAGGUGAAAUUCAUGGACCUUUGUAUGACGAACUACUGCGAAAGCAUUUGACUAGGAUGUUCCUGUUGAUCAAGAACGAAAGUUGGGGGAUCGAAGACGAUCAGAUACCGUCGUAGUCUCAACCAUAAACUAUGCCAGCUAGGGAUUGGAGGAAGAUCAUUUUACGUCUCCUUCAGCACCUUAUGAGAAAUCAAAGCAUUUGGGUUCCGGGGGGAGUAUGGUCGCAAGGCUGAAACUUAAAGGAAUUGACGGGAGGGCACCACCAGGAGUGGAGCCUG
rnacentral:rRNA from 1 species